rnacentral:rRNA from 1 species
AUUGAACGCUGGCGGCAUGCUUUACACAUGCAAGUCGGACGGAGUGGCGAACGGGUGAGUAACACGUGGGUGACCUGCCCUGCACUUCGGGAUAAGCCUGGGAAACUGGGUCUAAUACCGGAUAGUGUGGGAUGGGCCCGCGGCCUCUCAGCUUGUUGGUGGGGUAAUGGCCUACCAAGGCGGCGACGGGUAGCCGGCCUGGGGGGGUGGAGGGACACAUUGGGACUGGGACACGGCCCGGACUCCUACUGGAGGCAGUAGUGGGGAAUAUUGCACAAUGGGCGGAAGCCUGAUGCAGCGACGCCGCGUGGGGGGUGACGGCCUUCGGGUUGUAAACUCCUUUAACCAUCGACGCGGUAGAUGGAGAAGAAGCACCGGCUAACUACGUGCCAGCAGCCGCGGUAAUAC